GUGAGAUGACCGUUAAGUUGGCUCCCGAGGCACCCGGUAAGCAAUGGCAUCCCGGCUCUAGUACCUCGUCGAACUUUCCAAAUCUUUCCUUUAUGGCCGCCGUAGAUUGGUCCACUUGGACACAACAGAACAGGUUGCCCAUCCUCUUUUCUUCUGUUUCUCUCGAAAC